GUGCAGGAUAAGUUACAAUUCAGCUGUUGCCGUGCUGGUUUGUCGUUCCCCCUGCAAAAAUGAAUUUGUUUCCUACUAUCCCUGUGAGAUUGCUAUCCACAGCUCACAGGGACGCUUGGUCUCAAACAU